rnacentral:rRNA from 1 species
AUGAACGCUAGCGGCAGGCCUAACACAUGCAAGUCGAGGGAGAAGCCCUUUCGGGGGCAGAAACCGGCGCACGGGUGCGUAACGCGUAUGCAACCUACCUUUCACAGGGGGAUAGCCCGAAGAAAUUUGGAUUAAUACCCCAUAAUAUUGUUGGAUGGCAUCAUUUGGCAAUUAAAACUGCGGUGGUGAAAGAUGGGCAUGCGUCCUAUUAGCUAGUUGGAGUGGUAACGGCACCCCAAGGCUACGAUAGGUAGGGGUCCUGAGAGGGAGAUCCCCCACACUGGUACUGAGACAGGGACCAGACUCCUACGGGAGGCAGCAGUGAGGAAUAUUGGUCAAUGGUCGGAAGACUGAACCAGCCAUGCCGCGUGCAGGAAGAAUGCCUUAUGGGUUGUAAACUGCUUUUAUAUGGGAAGAAUAAGGCGUACGUGUACGUUGAUGACGGUACCAUAUGAAUAAGCAUCGGCUAACUCCGUG